CCUACGGGUGGCAGCAGUGAGGAAUAUUGGUCAAUGGGCGCGAGCCUGAACCAGCCAAGCAGCGUGAAGGAUGACUGCCCUACGGGUUGUAAACUUCUUUUAUAAAGGAAUAAAGUGAGGAACGCGUCCCUUUUUGUAUGUACUUUAUGAAUAAGGAUCGGCUAACUCCGUGCCAGCAGCCGCGGUAAUACGGAGGAUCCGAGCGUUAUCCGGAUUUAUUGGGUUUAAAGGGUGCGUAGAUGGGUUGUUAAGUCAGUUGUGAAAGUUCGCGGCUCAACCGUAAACUUGCAGUUGAUACUGGCAGUCUUGAGUACGGUAGAGGUAGGCGGAAUUCGUGGUGUAGCGGUGAAAUGCUUAGAUAUCACGAAGAACUCCGAUUGCGAAGGCAGCUUACUAAACUGCCACUGACAUUGAGGCACGAAAGCGUGGGUAUCAAACAGGAUUAGAUACCCGAGUAGUC
rnacentral:rRNA from 1 species